AUGUUUGGCGGUGCCCCUUUGUUUUCUGUCAAAACCUCACCUUUUGUGCCAAAACCUCACCUUCUGGGCAAAGAGGCGAUCGCCCUCGCUGGGAGGGACAUCCCCGCCCUCCCCUUUCCGCGGGCGCUUCCCCCCGCGGGGGGACGGCGGCGAUCCGGGGGUCGCCCGCUCCAGCCCCCGCGCUUGCGGCUCCGCUCGGCUUUGGGGGGGCUCCGGGGGGAGCUGCCGGCCUCGGCCCCGCUGUCAGAGGCAGGGGAGCCGCAGGAGCAGGCGCGGGCCGGGGGCUCCAUGGCGGGGCUGGCCCCCCCAGGGGAGCCUCUCGUUGCGUUCAGCUCCAGCCGAAGCUGCCUGGGGGACGGAGGGAGAGAAACACCGGGGGGAUAUCGGACAAAAAUGGAAGACGAGCAAGGAACUGCCUUGUUCUCCCGUGGGGGUGUCAUCCCCACAGCCCCAGUGCUGCCUCACAUGGGGGGGAAGAUUGGGCAUCUCCUGAGACAGGGUGGGGGUGCAGGGACCAGCUGGCACUGGGACCCUUCACCCAGGACCACCCCCAUUGCCAGGACCACCCCCAGUCCCAGGGGCAUCCCCAGGACCAGCCCCUCUCCCCCCAGCAACCCCCAGCAGCUCCCCCCCCUCCAUCCCCUGCCGCCCCCUCCCCAGGACCGAGAUCCCCCUGCAGGAGACCCCCAGGACCUCCCCCCCUCCCCCGGUCACCCCGGAUCCCACCUGCUCCCGCCUGCACCUGCAGUGGUGCCGCUGUCCCUGUCCCGGUGUCGCUGUUCCCGUCCCUGCCCCAGUGCCGGUAUCACCGUUCCGGUGUCAGUGUCCCGUUGCCGGUAUCGCUGUCCCCGUUUCCCGGCCGGUGUCAGUGUCCCUGGGCAGGUGCGGCUGUGGCCGUGCCGGUGUCCCCGUGCCGGUGCCGCUGUUCCGGUGUCCCGGUCUCUCUGUCCCGGUGCCGGUCCCGCCCCGCCCGCGGCGGCCCCACGCGGACACGUGCGCGGCCGCACGUGCCUCCGGCCGGGCCCCGCCCCGCCCCGCUCCUAUUGGCCGUAG
rnacentral:lncRNA from 1 species